UUUCAAAGAGUAAGAUUCAAUGAGUCUUACGAGGAGUUUUCAAGGCUCAAAGUCUACAAGAAAUUCAGAAGAAGCUCAAGCUACUUAUUAUGAUUCAAAAGGGUAUGAACAAUGAGUUCAUUGCAUGAGUCCUUUGUAGGGAUUUUACCUAUGCAUUCUAUAUGAUCUAGACUCAAACCUAAAGAUGCAAAUGAUAAAAGUAAAUGUUUUUUUUUUUUUUUUUUUUUNNNNNNNNNNNNNNCAAAUGAUAAAAGUAAAUUUUUUUUUUUUUUUUUUUUUGUAAUUUUGCAAAUUUUUAUGGAUUUUCUAUGCAAAU
rnacentral:lncRNA from 1 species